rnacentral:rRNA from 1 species
GACGAACGCUGGCGGCGUGCUUAACACAUGCAAGUCGAGCGGAAAGGCCCUGCUUUUGUGGGGUGCUCGAGUGGCGAACGGGUGAGUAACACGUGAGUAACCUGCCCUUGACUUUGGGAUAACUUCAGGAAACUGGGGCUAAUACCGGAUAGGAGCUCCUGCUGCAUGGUGGGGGUUGGAAAGUUUCGGCGGUUGGGGAUGGACUCGCGGCUUAUCAGCUUGUUGGUGGGGUAGUGGCUUACCAAGGCUUUGACGGGUAGCCGGCCUGAGAGGGUGACCGGCCACAUUGGGACUGAGAUACGGCCCAGACUCCUACGGGAGGCAGCAGUGGGGAAUAUUGCACAAUGGGCGGAAGCCUAAUGCAGCAACGCCGCGUGCGGGAUGACGGCCUUCGGGUUGUAAACCGCUUUCGCCUGUGACGAAGCGUGAGUGACGGUAAUGGGUAAAGAAGCACCGGCUAACUACGUG